CAAUCAUGUUAUCCUACUGUUAUCUAUUUUAGAACAAUAUUUGUAAGAAAACCAUGUGAGUGUUGAUCAGUUUGUGGGUAUCCGUGUAAUGAUCAUGGAGUUGUGCAUCACACUAAUAACCAUGGUACUUUUGCUGAUAAUCAUUCAAGAGAUGAUGGCAUUUCUCACAGUGGUGUAGAUGGUGGAGUGCUGCAAGAAUUCAGGUAGAUCGAUGGGUCCUGCAUUGAUGAAACUGAACAAAGUUAGUUGCAUGGUCCUAAUGGGGUAAGUGUGCCCAUAAUCACCUUUGUCAUAAUCUGAUUUUCAGGUUCCUAUCAAGAAAUCAUGAUAAACCUCAUAAUGACCAUUAACAGACCUAUUCUUGCAUCCAGGUUCAUGUAAGACGUCAUGGGGAGCAUAUCAGUCACGGCAAAUGAGGCACAUAGCAGGUAUUGAGGUAAGUGAUGAUACGAGUCUGAACCACAGCACAGACCAUCUGAUCUUACAUGUAGGUAAGUGAUUGUGUCCCUAAUACUUCUUGUUACUAUGAUUUUGUUUCAGGUAUUCAGGUAAGAAGUGAUAGUCCUUACCAAAUCUAGUGAUCAUGCCUUUACACGUUUUACAUUUUAUUUUUUAAAUUUAUUUAUUUGAGAGAGAGAUCGAGAACACGUGAGCACAUCGGUGAGAUGAGCAGAGGAAGAGUCUCAAGCAGGGGCUUGAUCCCACGAUCCUGAGAUCCUGAGAUCACAACUCUAGCUGAAACCAAGAGUUGGACGCUUAACCAACUGUACCACCCAGGUGCCCCUACACUUUUUACGUUUUAGAGAUAACACGUUUAACCCUGUGAGUGUUGAGAGUUGAUUGUAUCUGUAAUUGUCAAGUUCCCACCCCAGUUGUAACCACAGUAUUUUUGCAGGAGUCCAGUUCAGACACCGUGGCUUUCUUCUGACAAAGGUGUUCACCUGAAUUAAUGCAAGUAUCAGGAUAGAGUUGAUGUGUUCCAUAAUAACAGAAGUAAAAAGGUGUUCUGGUGGAGUAAGUCAUGUCCUUAAACAUACUUAUCCUAUGUAUUUCUUCAGUUUCCUGUCAAGAAAACACGGUCAACCUAAUAGUGCUUGUCAAUGGAAACUUGCUCUUAACCAGGCACAUGACAUCUUGUCACAUUGUAAACCAUCUGAUCUUCAAUAUGAAGGUAUCCCUUCAGGAGAAGUCGAUGUGUCUUCCCAGGGUUUGACCUUGGAGUCCUGCAAUUAAGUAUCCAGGUUGUGUUGACGGCUUCUGAAACGAUAGACGACCAAGAGAAUUUGCAAGGUGGAGGUAGAAUAAUUCCUGUACCAAAAACAUUUUCCACGAUGUGUUUUUUCAGGUUAAUGUCAAAACCUCAUGCUGAGUUUAUCAAUGAUAAUUUGUGUAGGAUAUUGCUGGUAUGGAGGGAAGGGAUCUGGUGGCUCAAAAGCGCAGUACAUGCCAUCUGGCCUUCAUAUACCUAGGUAAGUGAUGAGUGUACUUACACUUCUUGUUACCAUGAAUUUUUUUGAAGGUAUGAGGUAAGAAAUGAUAGAGUCCUUAUGAAUUCCUGAGACCAUGUUUCUCUACUUUCUAUGUUUCUGAAAAAUGUUCAUUUUAACCCUCUGAAUGUUGACAGACUGCAUGGAUAUAGGUAUUUAUAUCAUGAUAUUCUCCAUGAUAGUACAAUCCAUAGGAUAACUGUAAUAGAAUAACAGUGUUCUCUGACAUUGGUAUUAACUUUGAAGUAUGGUAAGUUUCCAGUAGAGUUGAUGGCGUCUCAUAAUGAUGAAGUGAACAACGUUAUUUGCAGGUUUCCUGAUGGGAAAAAGUUAUGUCCUUUAACACACAUUCAUAAUGUCUUUCCAGUCAAGAAAUUGGGAUGAACCUAACACUGCUCAUCAGUGGGGAUAUUCCUUGUGUGUAGGUGAGUGAUGAUGUGGGCCUAGCCCUGAUCUCUAUAUAGCUGGCUAAGUGAUGAAAGUUUCCUUGGCAAUUGUUACCAUUUUUCUUUGUAGGUAUUCAGGUAGGAAAUGAUAGUCUUUACCAAUUCUAGAAACCAUGCAUUUUUUAGAGAAAAUUCAUUUUAUCCCUGUGAGUAAUGAGGGAUUGCUGCAUCCAGGUAAUUAUCAUCAUGUUCCUACCAGUAACCAUGGAAAUUUUGCAGGUGUUUCAUUAUGAAAUGUCAUAUCUCAUAAUGGACUUGACCUUGGAGUACUGCAGGUAUUCAGAUGGAAUUGAUGUUCUCAUAAUGAGAGAAGUGUUCAAGUUAAUUGCUUUGAGGGGUCAUGCUACAAGUACUGGUUUUUUACACGUAUAUCAUGCGUUUUUCAGCUUCCCAUCAAGAGAUCAAGAUGAAAUUCAUGGUUAAUGGGGCAUUUCUGGUAUCCAGAUAAGUGAUGAUGUAUACCUUCACCACAUGAGACCAACUGACAUCCACAUACCCAGAGAAUUUACCAUGUGAUUUAUUUCAGGUUUUCAGGUGAGCAAGGAAGAGAUGAUGGUGUGAUGACAAUGGCAUAGACUUUGGAGUACCGCAAGAAUCCAGGUACUCAGUUAAGAAAUGAUACUGUCCCAAGAACAACCUUAAUUUGUUCUGGAGUUCACAUAUCAUGUAUGCUUACCCUGAGUGAUAACAGAAAGAUACGAAGAUGUGCAGAUGAGUUGUCAUCCUGUUCCACACCACAGUGUUGACCAGGAGAUUUCUACAGGUGCUCAGAGAUGAUAUGUCUAACACCGAUGUUGACGUUGAAGUUUUGAAAGAUCAGGUAAAACAAACUGUGUCAUUCAGGCCCUAAACACUUAUUUUUUAAGUUUCCAGAAGUCAUGACAUCAUACUGAACCUAACCAUGGUUGUGAAUUGGACCUCGAUAGUAAGCAGGUAUGUGAUAAAGUGGGUCUUACCCCAGUACAGAUCACUUGAUCUUCACAUAUCUAGGUAAGUGAGGAUGGUGUCUCUCAGCACAGUGUUACCAUGUUUUUUUGCAGGUAUCCUGUUAAGGCCUUUGCUAGUGUACAGGUAGGAGGUGAUGUGAUGGUCACUCAUCAGAGACAUUCUCAAUUUCAGUAACUACAAAAUUAUUGUUUUUGAGACUUCUUAUAUUUACCUAGUUUUUGUCAUUAUGUAGUUAAGAAAUUACUUUGUCUCUAGUAAUACUAGUAAGGAUGAGAUUUUUCCAUUCUUCUUUAGAUAAUAUGUAUUUAAUGCUAAUGAAAGAGGAGUAUGUGUAAUUUAUUAUGUUGUACUCCUUGCAGGUACCCUUGCAGGUGUACCCUUCAAGAAAAGAAGGUGUCUCUUCUUAGGGUUUGACCUCGGUGUUCUGCAAGCAAGUAUCCAGGUACUGCUAAUGGAUCCCAAAAUGAUACAAGUGACCAAGGGAAUUUGAAGGUGUGGAGGUAAAAUGAGACAUGUACUACAGUACGUUUUAAGAUUUGUGUCAACACAUCACAGGAGGUAAACCUAUCAAUGGUAGUUAAUGUUGGACAUCGUUGUAUGGAGGUGGGUGAUGCUGUGGGCCUACAGCACAGCAUAGACCAGUUAACGUUUAUGUAUUUAUGUAGGUGAUCUGUUCCUCACACAUUUUUUUGCAGGUAGCCAGGUAAGAAAUUAUAGAAACUUUAUAAAUUCUAGCAACCACAUUAUCCUACUCUUUAACAUGUUAGAGGAAAUUAUGUUUGACCACAUGAUUAUUGAGCAAUUUACAGUUAUCCACAUAAUUAUAAUUGAGCUGUGAGUAACAGUAAUAGCCUUGCUUGGUAUUUUUCAGAAGAGCAGUCAAAAGAGAUGAUGAUGUCUCUAACAGUGGAAUAGAUCUUAGAGUACCACAAGCUUCCAGGCAAAGUUGAUGGGUUCUGCCGUGAUGGCAGUGAACGGGGUUAUUUUUAGCGUCCAAGUAUAGAAGGUGUAACUAUAGACUCAUUUGCCACAAUGUGUUUUCCAGGGUCCUGUCAAGAGAUCGUGGUGAACCUCCUAAUGAUCAUUAAAGGGACAUUGCUUGUAUCAGGUUCCGGUACUCAUGAGAUCGUGAUGAACUUGACAGUGAUCGUUAAUAGGACCUUAUUGGCAACCAAGUAAGUGAUAAAGUGGGUCUUACCUCAGUACAGACCAUCUGAUCUUCAGAUAUCUUUUGUUUGUUUGUUUUUAUUCAUGAGAGAGGCAGAGACACAGGCAGCGGGAGAAGCAGGCUCCCUAUGGGGAGCCCAAUGUGGGACUCGAUCCCAGGACCCCGGGAUCACAACCUGAGCCAAAGGCAGACGCUCAACCACUGAGCCACCCAGGCGUCCCUGAUCUUAAGAUAUCUGAGUGAGUAUGGUUUACCUAACACAGCGUCACCUAGUUGUUUUGCACGUGUCCUUUCCUUUCCUAAUAUGCAGGUGUGAGAAUAUAUAGUAUUAACUCAUUAGAGACCUGCUUGUUUUUCAUAUGUGAAUGGGGUUUUCAAGACUCUAUAUUAACUCUGUUUUUGGCAUGUAAGCAGUUCAGAAAUUAAUUUGGCCCAAAUAGUACUCAUAAGUAUGAAAUUUUACUGUGUUCUUAUUCAGAGAUUAUAUGUUUUAUACACCCAGAGUGGUGGAUAGGCAGAGAUCCAGGUAAUUUAUCAUAUUAUCCAUCACCACAUUAUUGCCCAUGAAAUUUUUGCAGGUAUCCUUUCAACAGAGGAAGGUAUCUCUCUCCUUUUAUUUUUUUUUUAAUAUUUUAUUUGUUUAUUCAUGAGAGACACAGAGGGAGAGGCAGAGACAUAGGCAGAGGGACAAGCAGGCUCCCUGCAGGGAGCUGGAUGCGGGACUCCAUCCCAGGACUCCGGGGUCAUGACCUGAGCCGAAGGCAGACGCUCCAACCACUGAGUCACCCAGGCACCCCAGGAAGAUGUCUCUUAUUAGGGUAGCAACCUCAGAGUUCUGCAAUUAUCCAGGUUCAUGUGAAGACCUCACUGCAAGCCUUUCAGUGGUAGUUAACAAUGUGCACAUAUCAGAUAUUAAGGUAAGUGAUGAUGUGGGCCUAAACCACGAAACAGGUCAUAUGCUCUUCAAACACAUAGGUAAGUGGUGAUACUGUGUCUAACACUUGUUACCAUAUAUUUUUGCAGGUAUCCCUCUCGGGUCUUUGACAGUACAUAGGUUUAUACGUGGUAUAAUAUUAAGUCAUUAUAGAUAUUCUUGCUCAAGUCCCCUACCUCCCUUGUUUUUGGCAAGUCUAAGUUAUGUUAGUUGGACUCUGAUAAUACUAGCAAGCGGUAGUUUUGUUUUUGUUUUUGUUUUUUUUUAAAGAUUUUAUUUAUUCAUGAGAGAGGGAGAAGCAGGCUCCAUGCAGGGAACCUGAUGCGAGACUGGAUCCAAGGACUCCAGGAUCAUGCCCUGAGCCAAAGGCAGAUGCUCAACCGCUGAGCCACCCAGGCGUCCCGCAAAUAAUAGUUUUUAUUGUUUUCUUGUAUGGCGAUAAAGUGUAUUUCUCACUCAUAGUGGCAGACAAAUGGCAAAUAUCCAGGUCCUUUAUCAUAUUGUUUGAACCACAUUAUUAUUAUUAACCAUGGAGUAUUUGCAGGUAUCCCUCCAAGAGGAAGAUAAACCUUACUAGUGUUUAACCUUAGAGUUCUGGAAGAGUCCAGGUAAUGUUUAUGGGUCCCCAGAUGAUACAAGCGACAAGGGAAUUUGCAGAUGCACGGAUAGAAUGAGACAUAUACCAAACACAUAAACCACAUAUGUUUUUCAGGACACCCCAAGAAAUCACAUGAACCUAUCCAUACCAGUGAAUGGGCAGACAUUGCCGAUAUUGAGGUAAGUGAUGCUCUAGGCCUAAACCACAAAUAUUUGGAUAAGUAGUAAUACGUGUUGACACUUUUUGUUGCCAUAAUUUUGUUGCAGGUAUUCAGGUAAAAAAUAAGAAUCCUUACCAAUUCUAGAAACUAUAAAUUUUUGCUUUUUACAUUUUAGAUCAAAUCUCUUUAACACUAUGCCUGUUAGGAGGUUAUUGGUAUACAGGUAUUUAUCAUGGUUUUCCCCACCACAGUACUACCCAUGUAAUUUUUACAAGUGUCCAGUCAAGAAAUGAUAGUUUUCUGGCAUUGGUGUUGACCUUGGAGUACUGUAAGUAUCCAGGUAGUAUUGUAAGUAUCCAGAGUUGGUAUGUCUCAUAGUGAUGAAGUGACCAAGGUUAUUUGCAGGUGUCCUGGCAGAAAAAGUUAUGUCCCUUAACAUAUGUUUCAUAACAUUUUUUUCAGAUUCCUAUCAAGAGAUCCCAGUGAACCUAACAUUGGUUGUUAACGGGGGCAGGGAUGUUGCUGGUAUGCAGGAAAGGGAAGAUACAGGCCUAAAUCAUUACACAGACCAUCCAAUCUCCAGAUAGCUAGGUAAGUGAUGAUGGUGUCCCUAACACUUGUUAUCAUGAUUUCUUUAGGGGCAUUCAUUCAGGUAGGAGAUGAUAUAGAUCCCUUGCUUGUAUAGAAACCAUGAGUUACCAUUUUCUAUUUUAGAGAACAUUUUUAUUUAUCUCUGUGAGUGUUGAGUAAUAUCAUAUCUAGGCAAUUAUGAUAAUGUUUCCUGCCACAGUAAUGACCAUGGGAAUUUUGCAGGUGUCCUGUUAGGAAAUGUCUCACCUGACUAUGAUCUUGACCUUGGAGUACUACAAGUAUUCUGGUACAGUUGAUGUUUUACAGUGAUGAAAGUGAUAAAGAUUAUUUGCAGAUGUCCUGGUAGAACAAGUUGUGUUAUUUUACACAUAUAUCAUAAUGUGUUUUUCAGGUUCAUGUCCCUAAUGUUUAUUUUUUUAAGAUUUUAUUUAUUUAUCCAUGAGAGACACAGAGAGACAGAGACACAGGCAGAGGGAGAAGCAGGCUCCCUGUGGGGAGCCAGAUAAGGGACUGGAUCCCAGGACCCCGGGAUCGUGACCUGAGCUGAAAGCAGACGCUCAACCACUGAGCCACCCAGGUGCCUGAACCUAAUGAUCAUUAACAGGAGACAUUUCUGGUAUCCAGGUAAGUGAUGUUACGCACCUUCAUCACAUCACAGACCAUCUAGUCUUUAUAUACUGACAUAAGUGACAUCUGUUCUUCUUUGACCAUGGGAUUCUUUUGGGUAGGUUUUCAGGUAAGUAAUGAUAAUAUUUUACCAGUUGUAGAAACCAUGUUAUCCUACUGUUUUAUAUUUUAGAAAAAAAUGUAUGUUUAACCAUGUGAGUGUUGAGCAAUUUGCAGAUAUCCAUGUAAUUAUUAUGAAGUGAAAAUCAUAAUAGUACCAUGGUUUGGGGUUUUUUUGUGUGUGUUUUGUUUGUGUGUGUGUGAUUAUUUGCAGGUGAGCAUUCAACAGACAAUGCCGUCUCUAACAAUGAGAUAGACCUACCUAAGAUUCUAGGUACACUUAAUGACUCCUGCAGUGAUGCUAGUGAUAAGAUUAUUAUCAAGGUCCAGGUAAUAAAGGUGUGUCCUGACACAUAUGUCAAAAUGUGUUUUUCAGGUAAUUGUUAAGAAACCAUGGUAAUCCUCAUAAUGAUCAUUAAAAGGAUUUUGUUUGUAUCCAGGUAAGUGAUAAUGAUAGCCUUUUCCAUGCUAUAGGCCAUCUAAUAUUCAGGUAUUUAGGUACGUAUGGAUAGUGUUCCUAACCUUGUGUUGCUAUGUUGCUAUCAAAUCUACAGCUAUCGUUAGUUGAAAAUCAUCUCUUGAUUUGUGUUUUUGCAAAUAUCCACUCAAGAGGAGAUCAUGUCUCUAUUCAAAGUCUUGUCCCUGGAUUUUUGCAAGUAUCUGGAUAGGUUUUAUGGUUCCCUUUAAGUCUGCAGUAUUCAGUAGAUUUUCAGGGGCCCAUGUUAUGAAUUAUCGUUAAACACUGUUCUCUCUUUGGCUUUUGUAGAUUCCAGUUAAGAGAUUGUUGAUGAGAACCUCCGUGUGUAUUGAAGGCAAAAUUUUAUUUGCACCAAGUACAAGAUAAUCCAUUUGUACUAAAGUUAGAGCUCAUGAGAUUUUGUACAUACCCAGGUAGACAAUGUUGGUGUUCUGAAGCCAACAUAGUGGCCAUAUUUACUUGCAUUUGUAAGUUGUAAGCAGUGAUCAGGGAAAUUUUGCAGAUAUGCUGUCACACUAUGAAGGUGUCUGUAACUAAGGUAUUUUUUGGAAAUUUAUAGAUGUCCAGAUAAGAGAUGAUGGUGCCCUGAAACAAGAUAAUGACCUUGAGAUUUUGCAGUUAUUCAAGCAAGAGAUGACCUAUCCCUACUGUGAUCUCGAUCCUGCACCUUUCUAGGUAUUCAGAUUUUUUAGAUAUUCUGGGAAAAGAUGAUGGUGUUCUGACAAUACAGAUGACCGUAGGAUUUUGCACAUAUCCAGUCAAGAGAUGAUGGCAUAUCUAUCAACAUUGGUGUUUGUGGAAAAGAAAGAAAUGGAAUGCUUUUUUUGAUCAGUUGUAUAAUUUGUUAAAAGAAUUUUAACAUUCAAUGACUAGUAAAUAUUAUUCAUGGUCGUA